rnacentral:rRNA from 1 species
UACGUAGGGUGCGAGCGUUGUCCGGAAUUACUGGACGUAAAGAGCUCGUAGGUGGUUUGUCGCGUUGUUCGUGAAAACUCACAACUCAAUUGUGGGCGUGCGGGCGAUACGGGCAGACUGGAGUACUGCAGGGGAGACUGGAAUUCCUGGUGUAGCGGUGGAAUGCGCAGAUAUCAGGAGGAACACCCGUGGCGAAAGCGGCUCUCUGGGACGGUACUGACGCUGAGACGCGAAAGCGUGGGGAGCAAACAGG